rnacentral:rRNA from 1 species
GACGAACGCUGGCGGCGUGCUUAACACAUGCAAGUCGAACGAUGAAGCUGGAGCUUGCUCCAGUGGAUUAGUGGCGAACGGGUGAGUAAUACGUGAGAAAUCUGCCCUUGACUCUGGGAUAACUGCGGGAAACUGUAGCUAAUACCGGAUAUGACACUUUGGGGCAUCCCGAGGCGUGGAAAGACUUUAGGUCAAGGAUGAGCUCGCGGCCUAUCAGAUUGUUUGUGAGGUAACGGAUCACCAAGGCGACGACGGAUAGCAGGCCUGAGAGUGUGACCGGCAACGCUGGAACUGAGGCACGGUCCAGACUCCUACGGGAGGCAGCAGUGGGGAAUAUUGCACAAUGGGCGAAAGCCUGAUGCAGCAACGCCGCGUGAGGGAUGACGGCCUUCGGGUUGUAAACCUCUUUUAGCAGGGAAGAAGCGAAAGUGACGGUACCUGCAGAAAAAGCACCGGCUAACUACGUGCCAGCAGCCGCCGUAA